GACGUAGGGUGCGAGCGUUGUCCGGAUUUAUUGGGCGUAAAGAGCUCGUAGGCGGCUCGUCGCGUCGACCGUGAAAAACCCGCAGCUUAACUGCGGGGCUUGCGGUUGAUACGGGGCGGGCUAGAGUUCGGUAGGGGGAGACUGGAAUUCCUGGUGUAGCGGUGAAAAUGCGCAGAUAUCAGGAGGAACACCGGUGGCGAAGGCGGGGUCUCUGGGGCCGAUACUGACGUGAGGAGCGAAAAGCGUGGGGGGAGCGAAACAGG
rnacentral:rRNA from 1 species